UCAUGUAUAAUCUGGGCAAAAGUUCUCAAGGUGGAGCUAUUCCUUGGUUUCACCAUGGGAACCAAUCGAAUGUUCCUGAUCUACUUUUAGAACUUUGGGACAGAAUGACUUUUUUUAUAUUUGACACCCAUAAUAUCUAUGGUUGAACUCAAAGAGAGUGAUACGUGUUACGUUAUGGCCGAACAAACAUACAACAAAAGUGCCAAAACUGUCUCAGUCCUAAAAGCAUGGAAUCUUGGCCAAGCUUUGGUCACAAAGGGGUUAAUAUUGUGAAAGAUAUUUAAUCAGUCUUCCCUUAACCAUGAGUAACAGUUUGUGAUCUCUUCUGAUUGCUGCAAUGUUUAUCAAAGUGAUAAAUUCGUAGGGAGUCGGGACCUGCACAAUGCAAUGACUGGGGGAAUAAGCAGUCAAACUGUGUUACGUGUUGUGGUUUUCAAGGGUUGAAGAAUAACUUUGGUCACCAUAACAACUUAAUCUAAAUUAAGUUGUUAUGGAGGUCCACAGACUUUCUCUUACGUUCUCGAAUGGUUUAAGCCCAAAGGCUGCCUACAGCGACAAUCUUUAAAUCCCCAGGCGGCAUCUGGCUUCUGAAAUGGAGUUACAGGAAGCACGGAAUGCCACUAGACAGGGGCGCAGCUAAUUGGCUAGAGAGGUCAGCUGAUGUUCUAAGCCAAAUAGCUCCCCAUUAAAAAAAAAAAAAAAAAAAGGUACGUACAACAGCUGGAGUGCCAAAUGGUGGUUAUUAUUGGUGAGAUAUCAGCAGUGGUUUAGAAGUCAUUUG